UUGGUCUCUGGCACAAUCACAAGGCUCCUAAAACCCUUGUCAUUUCCUGAGCCACAGGGGUUUUAGGAGCAUCUUUCAUUCUAGUGUUUGGUCUUUGACCCCGGUUCCCAACAAACAGCUCCUACUCCCUUGGAAUUUAUUGGGUGAUGGGAGUGUCUUGUUCUAAUGAAGCAACUCUAAUGGGCUCCUGGACGGGGCUGGUCACCAGAAAGACCAGGUUAUGCUGAGAAGCUUGAAACCGUCAGUCCCCCGCCACCCCAUCCUCUGGGAAGGGAAGAGGAGCUGGAGAUCAUGCCCAUGUGAUGAGGCCUCCGUCAAAGUCCUUGCACUCCGGGAUGUGGCUGCCGGACAUGCGGAGGCGCUGGGAGAGCGGCACACCUGGAGAGGGCGUGGAAGCUCCAACACCCCACCUCCACACCGCGUGCUAUGCAUCUCUCCCGUCCAGCUGCUCCUGGGUUUCAGUCUUUCCUAAUGAACAGACGGAGCUUCCCUAUGUUGUCCAGCCUGGUCUUGAACUCCUGGCCUCAAGCAAUCCUCCUGCCUUGGCUUCCUAAAGUGCUGAAAUUACAGCAGAGGCGCUGACACAGAAAGGAGUGACCUCUCCAACCUUCCAUAAAUCAUCAGAACACUGCAGAGUGACAGUGGGAACUCCAGAGAUUAAACACGGAGGUGAGGCUGGCCAGGGAUCACAAGAGGCCCAACACCCAGACAGUACGGAACCUGGGUGGGCACCUCGUCCGUUUUGUCAUCCACAGACCAGAGGCUUCUGCACUUCUGAUGACUCCAUCCAGAUCUCCAGCUUGUCCUGUGGACCCAUCCAUGCAGAAGCAGACUCGGCAGGCACAAGGACCAUUUUCCACACCCCUAUGAUUGCACCUCAUCCAAUCAGCAGCACCCACUCCCUAGUCCCCAGCUCCCUCCAGAUUAUCCUUGAAAAACCCUAGCCUCUGAAUUUUGGGGGAGAUUGACUUAAGUAAUAAAAUUCCAGUCUCCCACUUAGCCAGCUCUGUGUGAACUAAACUCUUUCUCUAUUGCAAUUCCCAUCUUGGUAAGUCAGCUCCAUCUGGGCAGCGGGCAAGGUGAAUCCAGUGGGCGGUCACAGUGACGCCUUUGCUUUCUGAUGGUUUAAUGUACACAAACUUUGUUUCAUGCAGAAAAUUAUGAAAAGUAUUGUAUUAAAUUAACUUCAGGCUAUGUGUAUAAGGUCUAUAUAAAACAAACAAAUUUUGUACUUUGACUUAGGUCCCAGCCCCAAGAUAUCUCAUUAGGUAGUACAUAUAAAUAUUCCAUAUCCUGAAAAAGUCAAAAAUCCAAAAUAUUUCUUGUCUCAAGCAUUUUGGAUAAAAGAUAUUCAACCUGUAUAGGAGAUUAAGAGAAACUGCAGCUGGAAAGAGACCUCAGAAAUACAGUGAUAUAAUUCCACUUCUUUAUCUUUCAGAUGAGUCAACUGAGGUAAAGAGCAACCUGGCUGAAGGUCAACAGCAGGGCUUUUUAAUCAGAUCCAUGCUGCCCCAAAAUAAUGAAACCCUGGAUCAGCUUCUUUUCCAAAUCUUGAGAAUACAGGCUCCUGGGCUGUGAAAUACAAUUUGAAAAUGUUUCUCUUCUAACAAAGAGUGCAAUGUCUUGAGUACUUUAACAUACUGUUUUCUGAAAUCUCACUGUUUGCUGGUAGGUAUCAAUGGCUUUGGUGUGGGGCGUCUGAUAUGUCUAUAUAAAGAAUCUCAUGCUGCCCCAGGAAAAAGCACAUAUAUCCAUAUUUUUGUUUGAUUUUGUAAAGCUUAUUGUACAAGAUCACAUUUUUGUUUUAAUAAAGAACAAAAAUGAAGUUUCAACAUUUGUGAAGAAACAUAGUUUUUGAGAGAAGAUAAUUUGGUCAGAAGCAUUACUUGUUAUUUUGCCUUCUAUUAAAGUUUUCUCAGAAAUCAGAUUCCCUAUGUGAAAAAUCUGACUUCUGUAUAAUAGGUGUAUUGUAUAAUCUGUACUUUUAAGAAGUUUAAAAAUGGCCAGGCACGGUGGCUCACGUCUAUAAUCCCAGCACUUUGGGAGGCUGAGGCGGGUGGAUCACUUGAGGUCAGGAGUUCAAGACCAGUUUGGCCAACAUGGAGAAAUGUACUACUAAAAAUACAAAAUCAGCUGGGUGUGGUGGCGCAUGCCUGUAAUCCCUGCUACUCAGGAGGCUGAGGCAGGGGAGUCGCUUGAAUCCGGGAGGUGGAGGUUGUGGUGAGCUGAGAUCACGCCAUUGCACUCCAGUGUGGGCAACGAGAUCGAAACUCCGUCUCAAAAAAGAAAAAAAACCAAAAAGUUUAAAAAUGGCUGGGCACGGUGGCUCACGCCUGUAAUCCCAGCACUUUGGGAGGCC
rnacentral:lncRNA from 1 species